CGGGGCGUAGCGCAGUUGGUAGCGCGCGUGGUUUGGGACCAUGAGGCCGUGGGUUCAAGUCCCGCCGCCCCGACCA
rnacentral:tRNA from 1 species